rnacentral:rRNA from 1 species
CUAUUAUGACAAUAUAUUAUAUAUUAUCAGGUUUACGACGGCAUACAAAAUAUUACAUGAAGUAGACUACCUUGGUGGUUAUCAAUUAUUUGGUAAGUUCCCCUAAAUUUUAAAAUUACCGUCAUGCUAUUUGAGUUUUAAUCAAGAAAGAUUUUAGUACUCAGUACAUAUAGAAUGGGUAUUGUAUAAAAGGGUAUCUAAUCCUUGUUUAUAGUCAAUAUUUAGAAAAAAUACUAGAUUAUUUAUGAUUAUAAAUACUAUUUCACCAAAUAUUUGAUAUUAUAAGCUUUGUACAUACUAUAUACAGUUUAUUACUACAAAAGUCUGACCGCGACUGCUGGCACUUUUUUAGUCAUAGUACAUAUAAUUGGUUUAUUCUUACUUUCGUAAAUUUUUAAAUUUUCUUUCCUGGAAAUAUCUUUU